AGCUUUGUACAGUGGCAGUAUCAUAGCCAAUGAGGUUUAUCCGAGGUGCGAUUAUUGCUAAUAGAAGAAUUAACAUCAGUACUUUUGAAACUCUUCAAAAAAAUUGAAGAGGAAACAUUUCCUAUCUCAUUAUUGAG
ensembl:snRNA U4 U4 spliceosomal RNA